rnacentral:rRNA from 1 species
UACGUAGGUGGCAAGCGUUGUCCGGAUUUAUUGGGUUUAAAGGGUGCGUAGGCGGCUUUGUAAGUCAGUGGUGAAAUAUGGCAGCACAACUGUCAAGGUGCCAUUGAUACUGCGGAGCUUGAGUACAGAUGAGGUAGGCGGAAUUGACGGUGUAGCGGUGAAAUGCUUAGAUAUCGUCAAGAACACCUAUAGCGAAGGCAGCUUACUAGGCUGUAACUGACGCUGAGGCACGAAAGUGUGGGGAUCAAACAGG